CAUGAUGAAACCCCAUCUCCACUAAAAACACAAAAAGUAGCCAGGUGUGGUUACUUCAUUAUACUUCAAAUCCCACUCCCACACUCCAUGCCUCUCCGUGCUCCAAGCCUUCAAAUGUUCCCCAGUAGAGACACAAAACACCCUCACUUCCAAGCCUGAAAGUCAAGCCCUUCCCAACAUGGCACCUUCCUAUCUUUCUGGCCUUCUCUUACGCCAUCCCAUCUCUGUUCCCUCAUGUUCUCCACUUCUACAAGUUUUCUCUCCAAAUGCAUCUAUACUCAUCUGCAUUGGCUCAAGCCACUGUCCCUACCCCGCCCACAAAUGCCCUUUCAGGUGGGGCAGGAAGCACGUGGGUUUGGGAAUAGGAAGGAUCUGAGUUCAGAUUCUGUUCUGCUCCUUCCUAGCUGUGUCACCUGUGAUCGGUUACCUAAUUGCCUCUCUGGCCCUCAGUUUCCUCAUCCAUAAAAUGGAACAAUCAUUGCCACUUUACAGAGUGUUGAGCUCUUUAGAUAACAUAUGA
rnacentral:lncRNA from 1 species